GGCCACGUACCCAAGUAGUUAAGGGGACAGUCUGCAAAACUGUUAUGCGUGGGUGCGAAUCCCACCGUGGCCU
rnacentral:tRNA from 1 species